CCACCACCAGCACGGCAGUAAAAGCAGGAGUAGUGAAUGGUCACACGUAUGUGGUGACUUCUUGGACUAUCAGGCUGCCCUUGUAGUGUGUUGGACUAUCGGUCAACAAGGAGACCUGAAAGUUACGUGGUACAACUAUUUUGGUGAUAGUAGUGGCUGAGUUGCCGAUCCAAAGGCCUGGCUUAAGAGUGAUCCCGAGCUACCUGUACCAUCAAGAUCAAGAUCGAGCGUCCAUAUCAGAUGGUGAGUCUGCGUACAAAAUUGCAUCGGAGGGAUUGAUAGAGGCAGCCACAAUUAUCCAUCAUCAUCGGCGACACCAUGGCUCUUGAGAAGACCUCCUCUUCUCUCUUCCCAUCUCUUCCUCCUCCUAGCCCAACCAAGCCUAAUUCUCUCUCUCUCUCUCUCUCUCUCUCUCUCUCUCUCUCUCUCUCUCUCUCUCUCUCUCUCUCUCUCUCUCUCUCUCUCUCAGACAGACAGACCUCGAUGACAGCGUGGUGAGCGAGGAGGGGGAGUCAACCAGCAGAGUAGGGGAGCAUGACCCCUACUUUGAACCAGUGGUGACCUUGCUGGAGGUCUUCGUGGUUAGUGAUGAUGACCAGGAGGAGGAAAUGAUAAGACUGAGUUUCGAGGUCAGGUCAGGCAGUACAAGCUGUUUCAUUAUCACACCUCUGAGUCGCCCCCACAGUGGAAGGAACGGGGCAUGGAGGCCAUUAAGAUUCUGAGGAACAAGCAGAAGAAGGCUGUGGAGUUUGUUCAGCGGCAGAAUUAAUGCCAGUGGCUGAGUUCAGAUCCUCCAAGACACACACACACACAGCAGCCCCUCCACCUCCCCCUCAGCCCUCCACAGCCCCUGACACAGCUUCUAACACAGGCCCUUCACAGAACACCACAUACCUCACACAUACGAGUACAUAAGAACAUAAGAACAUAAGAAAUAAGGGAAGCUGCAAGAAGCGAUCAGGCUUACACGUGGCAGUCCCUGUAUGAAAUAUACCUACCUAUUUCCAUCUGUUAUCCCCAUCCAUAAACUUGUCUAAUCUUCUCUUAAAGCUCUCUAGUGUCCUAGCACUAACUACAUGAUUACUGAGUCCGUUCCACUCAUCUACCACUCUAUUUGGGAACAAAUUUUUUCCUAUCCUUCCUAAACCUAAAUUUUUCAAGCUUGUACCCGUUAUUUCUUGUUCUCCCCUGGUUGCUGAUCCUAAGAAUUUUGCCUACAUCCCCCUUGUUAUAACCCUUAUACCACUCAAAGACUUCUAUCAGGUCCCCUCUUAACCUACAUAUCUCCAAAGAAUGUAAAUUUAACAGCUUCAACCUCGCCUCAUAAGGAAUACUCCUCAUCCCCUGUAUCCUUUUAGUCAUUCUCCUCUGUACUGAUUCUAAUAGACCUAUAUCUUUCCUGUAAUGUGGGGACCAGAACUGCACAGCGUAGUCUAGAUGAGGUCUGACCAGCACCAAGUAUAACUUUAAUAUUACUUCCGGCCUUCUACUUUUAACACUCCUAAAAAUCACACACACCACAGGAGCCUCACAAACAGUCUCACAGCCUUCACAAGCAGCCCCACACUCCACCACAGACACACCAGACCCACAGCCCUUCACCUCACCCACUUCCCAGCCCCCCACAGCCCCCCAGCCACCACAAAUGAAGUCAAAGGAAGGGACUGUGGCUUCACCCAGCCAGCCAGGACAGCCUACAGAGAGGGGGUAGUCCCAGUCAAGUCACAAAAUAUAGGCUUGGUUCUUCCUACAGUUUGAAGUCAAUGAUUGGACAGGCCAGACAGCUUAGUGGCAGAGCUGCAGGUGGCCCUCGUCAGCUUCCUGGUGGCACAGGUGUAGGACGGCUGGGAGCAGUGGAGGUGCCUGAUGGGGCAGCUGUACCGGGCAGAGGGGCUGCUGCUGCUGCUGGGGAGAGCCACACUUGUAUGCUAAGCUUCUCUCAGUCCUUCUCUAACAGCCCCACAGUUACUGACCUUGACUCAAACACCAUCACGGCACUCUCUUCCCUGUUAAACUUGCCGGGAUCCAUUGUAAUGUAAGGGGUAUUGAAUGUGAGCGAUGAAACGAGAAGGUAGUGGCAAGGGGGAAAAAAGUACAGGGGAGCGCAGGAGAGACACCUCUCUCCACUGUGCCUGACAGUCUCUCAGUGAUUGAAAGACUGAGCAUAACAUCUUCAGGGCACGUGGUAACACGGAGAGGAAGUGGAAGAAACCUUGGGACGCUCCCAUAACUCAGGAGCAAGAAAUACACCUUACUGGAAACCUUGUGACUGACAGGUGGCGGUGACUGCAGGAACCAAUUCAGAUGUCUGUCUUGUGUUGGCGAACGUCCUGUCUGCAGUCAGGCCAGUAGUGCCAUGUCGCAGGGCGUGACAUCAGGUGAAGAGCCAAAUGGAGAGUGUCUGCAGCCAGUACUGGGUGUGCUGAUGCUGUACACAAGUGUCGAGCCAGGUGCCACAGCACAUGACUCCACCAGUGUAGUGUCUCUAGUCCAGGAUGCACUGCUGUGUACGACUUGUAUGUCUUUAUAAAUUUGUGACUAUUCUUAUUAUAUAUGUGAAAUAAAUAUAUAGUUAGCUAACAGUGUGGUAUAAUAGUGUAAAAAUAAAUAUUUGAUAAUUCAUGCAUGCCCCAAAGGUAAAAAAAAAAAAAAACAGGAUUGUGCCCUCUAAACUUUUAAGAUACCACUUGCACAUAGAAGCCCCGUCCCAGCGACUCCAGUGUCGGCUGGGAUGGGGCUUCUAUGUGCAAAUGGUAUCUUAAACUUAGUUUAGUAGCCAAUCCUGGCUUUUUUUUUUUUUUUUUUUUUUUUUUUUUUUUUUUUUUUUUUUUUUUUUUUUUUUUUUUUUUACCUUGAGGGCAUGACCUGUACUCCCAGAAAGACUAUUUGCCAAAGAUAUUAUUGACAUGGCAUAAAUAACUAUCAUUAUGUUCAAGAUGGUAUACUGAAUGUUUAUUGUUUUAAUGUGAAUGUUAAGUGAAUAAAUACACAACAAUAAUAUAAA